rnacentral:rRNA from 1 species
AUUGAACGCUGGCGGCAGGCCUAACACAUGCAAGUCGAACGGUAGCACAGAGAGCUUGCUCUCGGGUGACGAGUGGCGGACGGGUGAGUAACGUCUGGGAAACUGCCCGAUGGAGGGGGAUAACUACUGGAAACGGUAGCUAAUACCGCAUAACGUCGCAAGACCAAAGUGGGGGACCUUCGGGCCUCACACCAUCGGAUGUGCCCAGAUGGGAUUAGCUAGUAGGUGGGGUAAUGGCUCACCUAGGCGACGAUCCCUAGCUGGUCUGAGAGGAGGACCAGCCAGACUGGAACGGAGAGACGGUCCAGACGCCUACGGGAGGCAGCAGUGGGGAGUAUUGCACAAUGGGCGCAAGCCUGAUGCAGCCAUGCCGCGUGUAUGAAGAAGGCCUUCGGGUUGUAAAGUACUUUCAGCGGGGAGGAAGGCGGUGAAGUUAAUAACUUCACCGAUUGACGUUACCCGCAGAAGAAGCACCGGCUAACUCCGUGCCAGCAGCCGCCGUAA